GAAAGCUGCUCAGUGGAAAAGGACCUGGGGCUGCUGAUUGACGGCUGCUGAACAUGAGCCAGACUGUGCCCAGGUAGCCAAGAAGGCCAGCGGCAUCCUGGCCUAUAUCAGAAAUAGUGUGGCCAGCAGGGCCAGGGCAGAGCUCAUGUUUGUGCU